rnacentral:rRNA from 1 species
UACAGAGGUCUCAAGCGUUGUUCGGAAUUACUGGGCGUAAAGGGUGCGCAGGCCGCGCGGGCAGUCAAAUGUGUAAUUCAGGGGCUCAACCCCUGCACUGCGCUUGAUACUUCCGCGCUCGAGCUUUGGAAAGGAGUCUGGAAUUCUCGGUGUAGCAGUGAAAUGCGUGGAUAUCGAGAAGAACACUUAGGGCGAAGGCAAGACUCUGGACAAAUGCUGACGCUCAUGCACGAAGGCUAGGGUAGCGAACCGG